ensembl:lncRNA
UCCCUGGAUAAAUAUGGUAAUGAGGUCAGCAGCCUCUGCCCCUCCCUCUGCCCUCCCUGGAUAAAUAUGGUAAUGAGGUCAGCAGCCUCUGCCCCUCCCUCUGCCCUCCCUGGAUAAAUAUGAACACAUAAAACCCAUAUAAAGUGCUGCUCACAUGGACACCGCUACAACCCUUCAACAGGUACAUGGGUGAAUUAGUACCUUCUCUCUGAACUAAAUGUGAUAACUGUGGUUCUGCUGUUUUUAAUAAAGAACAUGUCUAAGUGUGUUUUCGAUGUUUUCCAUAACUUGAGUUGACCUUAAUCUGUUUUGUCUUGGAUAGAGGACAUCAGUCAGCCAUCUACAAUCUAGAGGACAUCAGCCAACCAUCUACAAUCUAGAGGACAAUAACCAGCCAUCCACAAUCUCUCUGUGUGUGUGUAGCUAUGAGGGGAAUUGUCCUUCUUUCUGCUGUCUCUCUGGCCUGGAGGCAACGUGGAUGCUAUCAAUCAAGAGGUCUUGGCUAAUGUGGUACAAGAGAUGAGAAGGUGGGUGUUUCUCUGUUCAUUCAUAAUGUAAAUAUUCCUAAAUGUCUGUUAGACAGAAUUAUUAGGCAUUAUUUGAGAGAUUUCAAUUUUUGGGGGACACAUUAGCAUGUCUUGGGUGUAUGAUAGAAAAUGCUAACCUCCCCUGUUAUUGUAAUGGUGAGAGGUUAGCAUGUCUUGGGUGUAUGAUAUAAAAUGCUAACCUCCCCCUGUUAUUGUAAUGGUGAGAGGUUAGCAUGUCUUGGGUGUAUGAUAUAAAAUGCUAACCUCCCCCUGUUAUUGUAAUGAUGAGAGGUUAGCAUGUCUUGGGGGUAUGAUAUAAAAUGCUAACCUCCCCCUGUUAUUGUAAUGAUGAGAGGUUAGCAUGUCUUGGGGGUAUGAUAUAAAAUGCUAACCUCCCCCUGUUAUUGUAAUGAUGAGAGGUUAGCAUGUCUUGGGGGUAUGAUAUAAAAUGCUAACCUCCCCCUGUUAUUGUAAUGAUGAGAGGUUAGCAUGUCUUGGGUGUAUGAUAUAAAAUGCUAACCUCCCCCUGUUAUUGUAAUGAUGAGAGGUUAGCAUGUCUUGGGGGUAUGAUAUAAAAUGCUAACCUCCCCCUGUUAUUGUAAUGAUGAGAGGUUAGCAUGUCUUGGGUGUAUGAUAUAAAAUGCUAACCUCCCCCUGUUAUUGUAAUGAUGAGAGGUUAGCAUGUCUUGGGGGUAUGAUAUAAAAUGCUAACCUCCCCCUGUUAUUGUAAUGAUGAGAGGUUAGCAUGUCUUGGGGGUAUGAUAUGAAAUGCUAACCUCCCCUGUUAUUGUAAUGGUGAGAGGUUAGCAUGGGGGGGGUUAUGAAUAAUGAUAGGUAACUUUCCCACUCAUUAUUCAUGAUUCAUCCAGGUUUAUCCAUUAUCAUGGUAGCAUCCACAUUAAUGUAGAAGUGUUCAGAGACAUAUUCUGUUCUUAUUUACAAUAAAAGUUACUCGAAAUGACACAAUACAUUAUUUACACACACACACACACACACACACACACACAGAGAGGCUGCUCAGUGGCAGUGUGGUGCUGACCAUGCUAGAGGUGGCCUUUAGGAGGAAUUUCUCAGGGUAAAACUCUCUCUCUUCUCAGUAGCAAAACACACAC